rnacentral:rRNA from 1 species
CUACGGGACGCUGCAGUGGGGAAUAUUGCACAAUGGGGGAAACCCUGAUGCAGCGACGCCGCGUGAGUGAAGAAGUAUUUCGGUAUGUAAAGCUCUAUCAGCAGGGAAGAAAAUGACGGUACCUGACUAAGAAGCCCCGGCUAACUACGUGCCAGCAGCCGCGGUAAUACGUAGGGGGCAAGCGUUAUCCGGAUUUACUGGGUGUAAAGGGAGCGUAGACGGUGAGACAAGUCUGAAGUGAAAUCCCGGGGCUCAACCCCGGAACUGCUUUGGAAACUGCCUGACUGGAGUGCAGGAGAGGUAAGUGGAAUUCCUAGUGUAGCGGUGAAAUGCGUAGAUAUUAGGAGGAACACCAGUGGCGAAGGCGGCUUACUGGACUGUAACUGACGUUGAGGCUCGAAAGCGUGGGGAGCAAACAGGAUUAGAUACCCUUGUAGUC